rnacentral:rRNA from 1 species
AUUGAACGCUGGCGGCAGGCUUAACACAUGCAAGUCGAGCGGGGGAAGGUAGCUUGCUACCGGACCUAGCGGCGGACGGGUGAGUAAUGCUUAGGAAUCUGCCUAUUAGUGGGGGACAACAUCUCGAAAGGGAUGCUAAUACCGCAUACGUCCUACGGGAGAAAGCGGGGGAUCUUCGGACCUUGCGCUAAUAGAUGAGCCUAAGUCGGAUUAGCUAGUUGGUGGGGUAAAGGCCUACCAAGGCGACGAUCUGUAGCGGGUCUGAGAGGAUGAUCCGCCACACUGGGACUGGGACACGGCCCAGACUCCUACGGGAGGCAGCAGUGGGGAAUAUUGGACAAUGGGGGGAACCCUGAUCCAGCCAUGCCGCGUGUGUGAAAAAGGCCUUAUGGUUGUAAAGCACUUUAAGCGAGGAGGAGGCUACUCUAGUUAAUACCUAGGGAUAGUGGACGUUACUCGCAGAAUAAGCACCGGCUAACUCUGUGCCAGCCGCCGCAGUAACAC